AUUGAACGCUGGCGGCAUGCCUAAUACAUGCAAGUCGAGCGAACAGAUAAGGAGCUCGCUCCUUUGAAGUUAGCGGCGGACGGGUGAGUAACACGUGGGUAACCUACCUAUAAGACUGGGAUAACUUCGGGAAACCGGAGCUAAUACCGGAUAACAUUUAGAACCGCAUGGUUCUAAAGUGAAAGAUGGUUUUGCUAUCACUUAUAGAUGGACCUGCGCCGUAUUAGCUAGUUGGUAAGGUAACGGCUUACCAAGGCGACGAUACGUAGCCGACCUGAGAGGGUGAUCGGCCACACUGGAACUGAGACACGGUCCAGACUCCUACGGGAGGCAGCAGUAGGGAAUCUUCCGCAAUGGGCGAAAGCCUGACGGAGCAACGCCGCGUGAGUGAUGAAGGGUUUCGGCUCGUAAAACUCUGUUAUUAGGGAAGAACAAAUGUGUAAGUAACUGUGCGCAUCUUGACGGUACCUAAUCAGAAAGCCACGGCUAACUACGUGCCAGCCGCCGCGGUAA
rnacentral:rRNA from 1 species